UUAAAAGGUUGCCCAAAAUUUCACAACUCUCUUUCCCUCUUCACAUUCCCCUCUCAAAUUUCAGAAACCCCCUUUUGCAAAUUGCCCUAGCCACUCUCUCCUCUCGUUGCCAUCUCUCCCUAUCUCUCCCUAUCUCUCCAUCACUUUCUUUCGCUCACCAUCUCUCUCUUUUGUUAUCUAUCAGGCCACGAUCGAUAUGUUGCGCACUUGUACGCCGACGAAGAACCCACCUCUGUUGUCGAUACCCCGACAACGCUAAACCCUAACAUCUGUGGUGAAACCAUGCUUUCUUCGCUAGUGCUUAGCUUUUUCUUAACGCUGAAAGUUCAACCCCAAUGCCGAUAUGUUGUGGGUAUGUUUUGGUGAUAAAUUUGAGUUGUUCGAAAGAUUAUAUUAUUGUCCAGCCAACAAGAUGUGGAAUUUAGGCGUCUUGAGCACAUUUUGGGCGAGAAUCCAAGCAUUUUGAGUUAGUUUUGAGUACCUUUUGAGUUUUUGUACUAAUUUUGAUGAACUCAUGAUAUUGGAUGGUGGAUUUUGAUUUUAAGAAGUGAUUAGGGUGCUGUUCAUUGAAGUUGAGGUUAUUUUUCCAUUCGAUAACUCACACCGCCGCAAGGUUAUGUUUGGGAGGUUUGUUCUUCUUUCUCAAAACUCAUUUCUUUUUGCAAUAUAUAAAUAUAUUUGUUCUCUGUUCAUUUUCUCUAUGCAGAUGACAUUAGAACGCAUAGUAAAGGACUCUGUCGUUCAUGCUAUCAAGGUGAUUUUACAAACUAUCCAAACUUUGGAAAACAUUCGAGAGUUUUGCUAUGCUAUGGAUUUGAUUAUAGGUUAGGAUUUAAUUAUACCAAGUAUGAAAUAUCCCAAUUGGGAGAUGAACCGUAUGAUGUAGAUGAAGAAGAAUUGAUUUCUAAUUGUAUGACUUUAUAAUUUUCUAAUUAAGAGGAAGUUUAGUUCAAAUUCCCAUUAAUCAGUAAUC